GGACAGGGCUCCCGCUUCCUCAGGCCACCAAACUCUUCGACACCUGGUCUCCUGCCCGCUGGACUCUGCUUGCGCCGAACCCCCCACUUUAACCAGGAAGGGGCAAGGCAGUCAGCACGUGUUCCCAGGAAGUAAGACCUACCCAACAGAAAGAAAUAGGAAAAAUUCUCAAGAAGCCACAUGAAAGACAGGCACUGCCUCCACGGACAUCGAACAGUAAAGUAGGAAGUUGCAUCCCUCACGACUCCUGAAGAGUUGUCUUCCAUCACAUUGUCCUCUCUGUCUAGAAACUUCGUUUCUAAGCAGGUAAGUU
ensembl:lncRNA